rnacentral:lncRNA from 1 species
UCUGGUUGGUCCCAAAAGCUGUUGAAUCAACUUGAGAAAAUAUAUUUAAUUCAAAAUCCAUACAUCCUGUUUGAUCAAAUCAUUGCAUUGAUGAUUGAUGCUGAGAAUAAGAACUGAAUCAUGUAAAAUAUGUGGUUGUGAUGAGUAAGUAGUACUUCUGUGCCAGUUGUUCAUCCUCGACAAAUUUGCUCUCGAGAACGAAGCCAUCUCGGUAUACUUGCUCGAUGCUACAACUUUAUACUGUGCUAGUUUUGCUAAGGCAGAGACGGAGAGAAGGAACAUUCGAUCCCAGAUUUGCUCCGAAGCACUAUGCUUCACCACCGGUACGACUGCUCGGUACAGUUGAUCUGCUGACCAAUCAACCUUCUCCCAUGGCGCAUCAUCUAAGGAGGGAAGGGCAUUACGGCUGCUCCAGCAACCCUAUAUAUAUAUAUAUUCGACUGCAUCUCCCUAUUCACAUCACAUUCCUGUGUAUGUUUCCGAGUUGUAAGAAUUCUGUUCUUGAGUAAACUUCUCGAGAAAUAUGAGAUUUGUUUCAUCGUACUGAGCUCAAAACCUGGAGAGUAUGCAUGUUGUUGUGAAUAAGAAGCAAUGUUGUAGCACGUCAAAAGCUCAAUGAAUGAGGCUCAGUUCAUAUCCAGUUAAAAGGAAGAUUAGUAAUCAAUCCGUUGGGGAAGAAGCCAUACUCACCGGUUCAUGCGACCAGAAUGCAGUAAGUGUAUGCAUCAUUAAUAAACUAAUAGAUCUCGAGUCCAGUUCUCAUGGUAAGUUUGUGAUGAUGAAGUGAGAAGCAGUGCUCAACAAGGCAACCCAAAGUAGAUUUACCUGCAAAUGAGCCGUAGGUCUCGGAAAUGGAGAUAAGAUCAAAAGAAGCAUAUAAUAAAUGAUGGGCCACGAGAGCCACAAGGACGUGUUGGUGGACGCCGGCGCCGGUAGGACCAUCGCCCACUGCUUGCCUUCCCGUCCCAUGUUCUCCUUCUCUCUCUGUUUUUAUAGUAUCAGACCAGCAGAAACCCAUAAAUCCAGCUUACAUUUGUUUUGUAUCAAGACAAAGUGGCCUUCUUGAGUGGCUCUUCUUCUCUCUCUCUCUCUCUCUCAGGAUCAAACUAACAGUAGCCCAUAAUUCCAGCUUACAUUUAUUAUUACAGGACAAUUUCCUAAUAGCUGAGAGAAGAUACAGCUGGAUUUUGAGGGACACAGAGAGGUGCAGUGGCUUAUUUAUUGAGCUCCUUUUCCAGGUCCUAUUUUUAUAUAUUUCUGAUUUAUUUACACUGGUUUCUCUAUUUUUUUAAUGGUAGAGCAGUGCGCUGUUGUGAAGCGAAAUCGAGAAGAGAGAGAGAGAGAGAGAGAGAGAGAGAGAGAGGAACGGAGGGAGAAAUGUACGCGAUUUGUAAUAAAGAUCGCUACUUUAUCGUCCUUCCGGGCGUUCCGUUUCCUCAUCACUGUUGCCUCGCUG